UACGUAGGGUGCAAGCGUUGUCCGGAAUUACUGGGCGUAAAGAGUUCGUAGGCGGUUUGUCGCGUCGUUUGUGAAAACCAGCAGCUCAACUGCUGGCUUGCAGGCGAUACGGGCAGACUUGAGUACUGCAGGGGAGACUGGAAUUCCUGGUGUAGCGGUGAGAUGCGCAGAUAUCAGGAGGAACACCGGUGGCGAAGGCGGGUCUCUGGGCAGUAACUGACGCUGAGGAACGAAAGCGUGGGUAGCGAACAGG
rnacentral:rRNA from 1 species